CAAAGAGUCAGACACGACCGAGGUAAUUGAGCACACACAAUAGCUAAGAAUGUUUUCAAAACCAAAGAAAAUAACAGUCCACAGGCUGGAGAAGUUCUGUGAAUCCCAAGAAAGCCACAGACCUUUCACUCAGAGACCUUCAACUACAGGAGAGCAUGGACAGAGAACAAGAUAGAAGACCGACUUCCUCUGGCUUAGCAGGAGGUUCCAGAGACCUGCAGACACAGUAUAAAGAUCAGCCCCUCCUAACACACCCUGAGGAAAUAGAACCUGCUUUUCCUGGUCCCUUGUUGGGAGGCAGCGGGGAUUUGGGAGAAGAGAGAGAGGAAGAGAACAAGAACACUACAUCCGUCUUAAAUGUAAGAACGCUAAGAACUCCUGAGACUGUGCUACAGCCUACAAAGCUAGAAUGGAUUUAAGCUUGAGGCCCCAGAACCUAAGUGGAAAUAAUGCACACGCAAUCUGGAUGCCUCCCUCCUUCAAAUAAUGCUGCAGAGAGGGAGUCACGGAUGGACUUUGGAAAUCCAAGAUCCUCUUGAAAU